AUUUCAACAGGUCCCGAGUCCCGACAGAAGAAUUUUCUUGCCGGAAGGUCUGCUGGACAGAUCGGAGAUCCCAGCGUACUUGACCGGAGAAGUGCCCGGAGACUAUGGAUACAAUCCAUUUGGCCUGAGCAAGAAGCCAGAAGACUUUG